rnacentral:misc_RNA from 1 species
ACAAAAACAGCAGUGUAAUCAACCUGAUGCAGUAAAGAUAGAGAUGAGGUUAUUGUCAGUAAGGUGUAAACCCCAAUGAAAAGAAAAUAUUCAGUUAAGUCAAUAAGUCAGAUAUAGAGACUCACCACAAUCCAUAUGUGCAACGGGUAUGUGCAAAGAUGAUAUCUUUUCCAAUUGAUUGCAACAAUGAUUCUAUGUAAGAUUGUAAAGGGAAUGCACGCAUAAACAUUAUCUUUUCAUUUGUCUUAGACUGAUAAUAAAGUUAAAAUGCAAUCUCAAUGAUAAUUGAAUUUCAGAAAAUGAAAAAGAUCACACAAACUAAUCGAUGCAGAAUGGUUGUUAAUCUUAACAGACUCGAUUUAUGACCUUUUAAAUCCAUGCAGAAUGUGGUAAAGUAACAGUUUUUUCAACAAUCAAAACAAGUCAGUAUAGGUCUACACUGAAAAUCAAAACACGGACAUCCAAAAUAGAGGACGCAAACUACAGAAAAUAUGAACCAAAUCAACAUUCUAAAGAGUUAGUGUAAAAAUUAGUCACAACAAAUUUGAAAAAACGAAAACCAAAUUGUCCAACACUGCCAAAGAAAAAGAAAUCGAAUGCCCUAAAUCAGUAACGAAAGAAACCAUCCAAAAAAACCCAACAAGUGAAUUGUAAAAUGCCAAAAAAAGGAUACAGAUUUGUGGCCAGCAUCGACAAGAAGAAGCCAUCGUACCACUUGAAAUCGACGCCUCUGAUAGCCAUAAAUCGAAAACCCUAAAGGACUUAGACUGACACCAAGAACUGAAUCCUCAUUCCAAUCAUCACAUGAAAAUGCUCCGAAUCCGAUGCCACCGAACCGAAUCCAAAUCUUUCAUGUAUCGGUUUCGUUUUACGUAGUUAGUUGAACCAGAAGUAAAGAGAGAAGGAUGCUACGGAGGGAACGAGGCUUUUGUUUGAAGCAGAGACAGAUAGUAGAGGGAUGAAGCGAAGCAGAGGAAAAAGAUCGGUGGGGCUCCG